ACCAGACCUCUGGACACCAUGGCCAGGUUCCUUGCCCUCCCCACCCCAUCCCAGAGCGCACUCACCAACUCCACGGGAGGCAAGGCCUGACAGGCUGAAGUCACCUGGAAGGGGACCGAUGCCUGGUACUGGAUAGGAACUUCAUGGAAUGGAGCUAAUGGGCCGUAGGGCAGGUUUGAGUCGUGCCACCCUGGAGCAGAAGGUGGAGGGUAGGGAUAAGGGUGGAGAGAAACUAGGAGAAAAGCACAGGAUGUAGAGGUCUAUUCGGCAUAAUCUUCUCCCUCAUUUUCAUCUUCACCAUCAACAGAGAGAGCAGCAUACUUGCUUGCAGAACUGAACUUCUGUAACACAACGAGAGUGACAGGAUAAUGAAGGCCCUGAAUUAUCACAUCAAAACCCAAGACACAGGAUACUGAUCCUUUGGCAAUGGGGGAUGACAGUCAGAUGACACCCACUUGCUUGCUCAUCAGCAUUGUCCAUUGGAGAGGAGCUAGGGAAGAGGGUCAGAGGCACAUGCGAUCUUACUAUAGUCUCAUACCACCUCUACACCUUGCAGAAGGGAUGAGAACAAAGGAAGACAGAAACCAGGAAAAAGCUAAACUUCUUUCGCUAUUUCAGUAAAGACCAAUGUCUUAUUUCCAAACACUUUGUAUUCCAAAUGGAAAGAAGUCCAACGGCAAAAAGUUUAGAAUACUAAGAAUUUUUAAUUCUUAGUAAGAAUACUUAGAAUUCUAAGAAUUUUUCUUAGAAUGAAAAAUUGGGAGCAGCCUUCAACACUUACGGAAGCUGGAUUUUCCUCAGGUUUCUUUGGCUCAGGUGCAGAUCUGGAGUCUUGAUCCUUUUUGCCAUCUUUCCUGCAGAGACGUAAGCAUAAAACCAUGUCUUUAGGAAAGGACUCGCCUAAUACAAACAUGUGUAUGCAUGCAGUUUCAAGGCACUGAACAGGCACCUCUAGUCAACAGUCCUUGUUGUCUGGAUGAUGUAUUACUUCUAGAUUUUCAGAAUCUUAACUGUCUACGUUGGCUGACUUUAGUUUGCUCACAAUGAGCGAUCUGGCAGUGCUCUGAGAACCAAGAACUUAAUUUCUUAAUUACACAAACAUGUGGAUCAGAGGAAAGAUGAGAAAGAGAACAAGCAUACCUAUCUGACUCCUUCCAGUGGUCUCUGUUCCCUCCGUCGCCUGGACCACGGCUAGAGUUCCCAGUUUGGCCUUUUGGGGCAUUCAUCCCAUCUACUUUAUUUUCAUCUGCUUGGGCAGUAAUGUAAACAAAUUAAAGGCAAGUAAAAGUAUCAAUGUCCCUCUCCUAAGAUUUCCCUUAAGCUGAAGAAAAUUGUGCCCACAUGUACUGAGGGAAACUAACCUCACCCCAACCCAGACUUCCUUCCUGAAGCCCUUCUUUCCACAUCCUCUACAGCACACAAAAAUACAAAAAACAAACAAAAUCCACUAAAAAGUUCCAUGUA
rnacentral:lncRNA from 1 species